CCCUUAGAUGUUCUGGGCCGCACGCGCGCUACACUGAUGCAUUCAUCGAGUUUACAACCUUGAUCGAUAGGUCUGGGUAAUCUUUUAAAUGUGCAUCGUGCUAGGGAUAGAUUAUUGCAAUUAUUAAUCUUGAACGAGGAAUUCCUAGUAAACGCAAGUCAUCAGCUUGCAUUGAUUACGUCCCUGCCCUUUGUACACACCGCCCGUCGCACCUACCGAUUGAAUGGUCCGGUGAAAUCUCGGGACGGCGGCUUGGUCGCUUGCGUCCGACUGCUGAAACUUGAUUAAACCAUAUCAUUUAGAGGAAGGUGAAGUCGUAACA
rnacentral:rRNA from 1 species